rnacentral:rRNA from 1 species
UACGUAGGGUGCGAGCGUUGUCCGGAAUUAUUGGGCGUAAAGGGCUCGUAGGCGGUCUGUUGCGUCGGGAGUGAAAACUCAGGGCUUAACCCUGAGCCUGCUUCCGAUACGGGCAGACUAGAGUGAUGUAGGGGAGACUGGAAUUCCUGGUGUAGCGGUGAAAUGCGCAGAUAUCAGGAGGAACACCGAUGGCGAAGGCAGGUCUCUGGGCAUUAACUGACGCUGAGGAGCGAAAGCAUGGGGAGCGAACAGG